rnacentral:lncRNA from 1 species
UGGUGAGGUACACCUGUCGCUCUGGCUUCAUGCUGGUGGGAAACCCGACCAGAUCUUGCCAGUCUAAUGGCCUCUGGACCCCGAAACCUAGCUGCCUCAGAAUGUGUCAGCGGGGACGCAUUGAAAUCAGUGAGAGGGAACUAAAUGGGACAUGCAACUCCACCUGCGCAUACAAGAGCUACUUCGGCCCGCCCAAACAAGGCUGCACUCGCCUAGACAACUGCAAGAAGAAGGAGACCGGCUGGAAACGGUUCUUUGCACAGUGUGUCCCUUGCAUUUGUGACUGCGCUUUAUCGUGUGCAUUUACAGGCUAACACCUGGAGAAAUGUUGACUGUACAGUGAGACAUCAGAUGAAGAAGAAUUACACAGACAGUUUGUACCCCGCAGAGCCACGCUGUGUUUGUACUGCUUCAUCCAAUUGUGUGGACAAAUCAGUGGACCGAAAUCUGGAUGUUUUGAGACAUUAAUGUAAUCUCUCUGCCACACAGAAACCAACAAUUCCAAACAAUUUCUCCUUGGUUUCCAUAUAAAGGAUUUCACACUGUGACAAGAAGAUUUCAGGGCCUGAGAUUCCAACCACUCAGUGAGUCAGUGGUGAAUUAUUAGCAAAGAACUGCUAAAUUCAGUCAAUCUGUGUCACGUAAAGUGGCGGAAAGGUCAGGAAAGAAAAGUGAGGUGAAUUUUAAAACAAGUCUCUGAGAGGCAAACUUGGGUCAAAUAAUUAUUUGAAAUAGUAUUAAAUAUUAUCUAAAAUAAAAAGUUA